CGGGUGAGUAAUGCAUAGGAAUCUACCCGAGUAGUGGGGGAUAACGUGGAGAAAUCCACGCUAAUACCGCAUAUGGCCCUACGGGGCAAAGCAGGGGACCUUCGGGCCUUGCGCUAUUGGAUGAGCCUAUGUCGGAUUAGCUUGUUGGUGGGGUAAAAGCCUACCAAGGCAACGAUCCGUAGCUGGUCUGAGAGGAUGAUCAGCCACACUGGGACUGAGACACGGCCCAG
rnacentral:rRNA from 1 species